rnacentral:sRNA from 1 species
GCGCCCCGCCCCCUCGCUAGGCGCUCGCCACGCCCAUGCCUCCGUCGCUGCGCGGCCCACCCCGGAUGUCAGCCCCCCGCACCGACCAGGAUCCGUGGACAUGGCGAACCAGGUUAUCAAGUGCAAGGCUGCAGUUGCUUGGGAGGCUGGAAAGCCACUCUCCAUAGAGGAGAUAGAGGUGGCACCCCCAAAGGCUCAUGAAGUUCGAAUCAAGAUCAUUGCCACUGCGGUUUGCCACACCGAUGCCUAUACCCUGAGCGGAGCUGAUCCUGAGGGUUGUUUUCCAGUGAUCUUGGGACAUGAAGGUGCUGGAAUUGUGGAAAGUGUUGGUGAGGGAGUUACUAAGCUGAAGGCGGGUGACACUGUCAUCCCACUUUACAUCCCACAGUGUGGAGAAUGCAAAUUUUGUCUAAAUCCUAAAACUAACCUUUGCCAGAAGAUAAGAUGAGAGAAGACUCAGAAAUUAAGAGGUUUUGACACAGAGAGGGUACCUGGGCACAGCAACGACCUUCUCUACCAUUUGUGGUUUUCUGCCUAAUUGUGCAACUGAAGAAACAUUUAUUUUUCACAUGAGGAAAUGUGUAGCUUGUAGAGGUGGCUGAUUUGAGUAAUUUGUGCAGCCCUCAAGGGGUAUCUGCAUUCUGUCUCCUCUCUAGCCCAUAAAAGAAAGAAGUGGGGGGAUGUGAAGAGACCAGGGGAGUGACUCCACCUUAUGCCUCAC